rnacentral:lncRNA from 1 species
ACAGAUAGGCAGCAAGGAACAACAGAGAUUUAGGGUUCACUGUGAGCCAGUUCCCCAACACCCAGGACAGCUUCCCAGGGAAGACGGAGUCUCGUCUGCCUGUGCUCCACUUGUACAGCAGGAAUGUGCCUUUGAAGCCCUAAGCUGCCAUAUAUAUGGCUACUGUGAACACGCUGGCUACUGUGCUACAAAGAUCACACGGAGAGAACAGAUACAGAGAAACAGAGAGAGAUUCCUGGGGAACCCUAGCUGCUUCAGUUCCUAGCUUUUGAGGCAUCCCAAACCAGAGGCCAGAUGCGUGAAUGAAUGAGCUCUUGGAUGAUGGCAGCUGCAACCUUUUAGUCUUCUAGCUGAGGCCCCACACACUGUAAAACAGAGAGAAAAAAAAACCCAGUGUCUUGUCUGAAUUUCUGAAACACGAAAUUUAUGAGCAUAAUAAAUGGUUGUUUUACA